rnacentral:ncRNA from 2 species
AUAUCAUCAAGAGCUGACAGAGGGACUGGCCCUAUGAAGUCGCGGCAACCAUCUAGUAUAGAACGGUGCCAAUUCCACGGAAUAUCCGAGAGAUGAAGA